UACGAAGGGGGCUAGCGUUGCUCGGAAUUACUGGGCGUAAAGCGCACGUAGGCGGCUUUCUAAGUCGGGGGUGAAAUCCUGGAGCUCAACUCCGGAACUGCCAUUGAAACUGUUUAGCUUGAGGAUGAGAGAGGUGAGUGGAAUUCCCAGUGUAGAGGUGAAAUUCGUAGAUAUUGGGAAGAACACCGGUGGCGAAGGCGGCUCACUGGCUCAUUACUGACGCUCAGGCGCGAUAGCGUGGGGAUCAAACAGG
rnacentral:rRNA from 1 species